rnacentral:rRNA from 1 species
GUGGGGAAUUUUCCGCAAUGGGCGAAAGCCUGACGGAGCAAUACCGCGUGAGGGAGGAAGGCCUUUGGGUUGUAAACCUCUUUUCUUAAGGAAGAAGUUCUGACGGUACUUAAGGAAGAAGCAUCGGCUAACUCCGUGCCAGCAGCCGCGGUAAUACGGAGGAUGCAAGCGUUAUCCGGAAUCAUUGGGCGUAAAGAGUCCGUAGGUGGUUAGACAAGUCUGCUGUCAAAGGAUGAGGCUUAACCUCAUAAAGGCAGUGGAAACUGUAAAACUAGAGUGCGGUAGGGGUAGAGGGAAUUCCCAGUGUAGCGGUGAAAUGCGUAGAGAUUGGGAAGAACACCAGUGGCGAAAGCGCUCUACUGGGCCGAAACUGACACUGAGGGACGAAAGCUAGGGGAGCGAAAGGGAUUAGAUACCCCAGUAGUCC